rnacentral:rRNA from 1 species
AUUGAACGCUGGCGGCAUGCCUUACACAUGCAAGUCGAACGGCAGCACGGGUGCUUGCACCUGGUGGCGAGUUGCGAACGGGUGAGUAAUACAUCGGAACGUACCUUAUCGAGGGGGAUAAUGCAUCGAAAGCUGUUCUAAUACGUCACACGCCCUUCGGCGGAAAGCGGGGGAUCGCAAGACCUGGCGCCAUUAGAUCGCACGACGACUGAUUAGCUUGUUGUUGGGGUAAAAGCCCACCAAGGCGACGAUCAGUAGCUGGUCUGAGAGGCCGAUCAGCCACACUGGGACUGAGACACGGCCCAGACUCCUACGGGAGGCAGCAGUGGGGAAUUUUGGACAAUGGGGGCAACCCUGAUCCAGCAAUGCCGCGUGAGUGAAGAAGGCCUUCGGGUUGUAAAGCUCUUUUGUCAGGGAAGAAACACCGGCUCUAACACAGUCCGGGAAUGACGGUACCUGAAGAAUAAGCACCGGCUAACUACGUGCCAGCCGCCGCUGUAA